UGGGGCCGAAGCAGCUGUAGAUCAAGGUCUAUGAGAUGCACGUCCGAGACACAGACCUGCAAACUUCUCUUUGCAUGUGCUUCACAAUAUCCACUAAAAGUCAGCCAAGGGAGCAAAAUCUUGACCACUCCACCUGUUAGACCACGUGCAGUGUAAGAUAAGAUACCCGUGUUCAGCUGGAUCUUAUUUCCAGACCUGCUUUUCGUCCCUGCCUCUCUCCUAGAGCGGUUGUGCUCAGCAGGGACUCACGCUCAUGGGCUCCGCACCCCGUCCCUGCCCCUGCCCCUGCAGAUGAGGAGCUGUGCUCCAGCCUCGCCUGCUCCUCCCCAGCCAGAACCAUUGGGUUAGUGAAAGAAACCUUCCUCAGGGGUUAAGCUGUAAAGAGGCAACCCCCCCGCCCCCACAGUACCGUGCGAUGGUUAGGCUUAAAAUGAUCUUCCAGAUCACAUUUUGUAAAUUACACCGUUGUCAUUUACAGUAGGUGGCAGUUCAAUGACUUUUAAUUGCUAUUAGUCAUGCAGCCCAUUAUAUUGUGGAGCAACGUGUGUGCUCCCACUCACGGCACGUGGUGCUAUGGCUCCUGUUCGCAUCGGAAGAAAGCUGCAUCCCGCUCAGAGAAACGUAUUUUAUUCUUUAUAUGCAUAAAGAAGUUCAUACUGUCCUCGAGUGAUGGGUUUCAUUCUGUUAGGCAUAAGACCCUUUGGUUUGCUCUGGUUUUUAGUCUGAGCUUAAAAGUGAGCUUCUGCUUCUUGUCACGUUAUUUUUCAAGUCCGAAGAGCUUUUCACUAACACCAGAGAUUAAUUGCCGCACAGGGAUGUGGGACAGCCAGGAAUACCAGGCUUGGACUACCGGACACAUUGGCCCUUCAUUAUCAGCGCUAAUGUUAUCAGUUUCCUGUGAAGCUUCCUGUAAAAUCAUGGAUUUCUUGAGGUAUGGCCUGAGGGAAGGGUUGAUACCAUGAUUUUUUUUAAUGUCAUGACAUCGUAAUUCCUUUACUCAGCACUUUAAUAGACAGGAAGUGAUGAGAUCUUCUUCCUGGAAAAAUGCUUUUGAAUACCUGACUUGAAAUGUGUUUAAGAAAUAUGCUCAAGAAUUUCUGAAAACCCAUCCCUUUGGGUUUCUCAAACUCACUGUUUUGUUCUGCGGGCUCCUGCCUACCUGUCCAGGCUUUCUGCAGCUUCAGUUCAUUACCCAAUUCUCCCAACACCCAUGUGGGAGAGGUGAUUACUACAGCAGAGAGAAAGACAAAAAUACUCACUCCAGGCCCACAGAAGGGAUGGGUGACAGAAUUUCCUUUAGAAUCAGUAUUCCCUGAGUCCCAACCCUGUGCUCAUUACUGGUUUAUGUGAUGCAGAAAAUAUCUGUAUCAUUACUGACAAGUUCUUAUUUCUACUAAGUAAAUUAUUUCAGUAUGAAAGUGUGCUUCUCAUGUAACCCUGUACAUUGCGGCAGUGAUGUAUAGGCAGUUCCAAAAAUAUCCACGUUAUUUCUUGUCUUUAAAAUCCCAGUGAGAUCUGCACGGAGUCGCUGCAGAAAGCAUGGCCUGAGGAACAUACGUGGUAUGCAGAGGUCUGCAGCUGGCCUCCAGCAAACCGCCUCUUAUUCCCAGGGAAGGGAUGAAUGAUCCUUGAAUUUGAGACAGGAACCUUCCCCGGGGCUCCAAGACUGAACAGAAUAUCAUUUUCAGAAAGCCAUCAAAUGUCUGCCAUUUGAAAGGUGGGGACUCCCACGAGUAUGACACCAGCGGGCACAGCAGCAAAACCCUUUAUAAGUCAUCAUAAUGACCUCAGCAUGGAUAUGUAUGUGCUGGUUGCUCCUGAACUCUAUCGCAAGGUACAGCAAUGUGACCACAUCAGACUGGGCAUGCAGCAAAAGUAUUUAAUGCUCUCACACAGCAAGACUGCUCACUGAUUCUAGCGUGGCCUGACAACCUUCAUAGAAGUAUGCUAAAUCUAAAACCAGACUUCACUCCGUGGAAUACAUACUCAUUUUCUUGACAUUAUGAUGGUUUCAUUUUUGGGGGUAUUAGUUUUUCUUUGAUCUUGUGUGUGUAUGUGUUGGUAUUUAUGUGGUGGUGGAUAAUUAUUUUGGAGACAUCAUGUAGGAACACUUUGCUUAGGAAGCACAGGCCCAGUCCUCCAUGAAAAGGAAGUCACUGUGUCACAUCCCUCAUGUGGGUGGUACAGCACGAUGGCUAGCCUGUGGGUAAACGGGGUGACUGUGACAUCGGCAGUUGGUUUAGAAUUAAUAAUUUCAACAUGAAAAUGCACGUUUUUACAAAACCACAAAAACCAAAUCCAUAGACUUUCAUUUUGGUAUUCCAUCCCAAAGGCUGACAACCACCAGCAAAUGCAGCACUAUUUUACUGGCCUUUACCAUUACGAUGCAGGAUGGAGUGAGGGAUUGUCAAGGAGAAACUGCCAUCAUGAUUCCCUUAGUGCAGGAGAGAAGAUUAGAGUUGACUGGCUCUAAUCUUAGCACAAGUCACAUCCUUGUGCUUAUCUGAUUUCUUCUUUUUAAUUCAUCUUGAAGUAUUUGCCACUGAGAGAUGUCUGGAGCUUUUGUAGAUGUCAAGUCAUUGAAGGUUUGGAUGGGGUGCUGGACGUCAGUUAAAAAAUGAAGGGCUCCAUUUGAUCCACCAUCCAGAAGUCACCACUUGUGAGUUCCACGUGGCUGAUGCGGAUCACUGUGAUCUCAGGAACAUCACUGGAGACCUUCUCUCCCACGUGACUUGGUCAGUGAUGGUAGGUGUCUGUUGCUGAAUGGCCUCAGAAGCUGGUUUGCUUUGAUGUUACAUGAAAAGCUUACCAAGUGUCACACACCUGAAUACGGUGGCUUUGCAGCCACGUGGAGGAGGAGAGGGUGCCUGGACCUCACCAGGUGUCGCACCGAAAAGCAACCGGUGGCAUUCUGCACAUCUGCGCUCUGCCAUUGGGAUUUGGCUUCGUGUUAUUAAACACAGGGUGGAUAUUUAAAAUGAAAUGCAGUAGCUUGAUACUGAACACUGCGAGGCAAACAGAGGCUUUCCAAACUGAAACAGGUACUU